AGGGCCAGUGAGCAAAUAUUUUAGGCACUGUGGAAACAGGGUGUAUGUGAAGUUUUCAUAUUCUCUCUUCUCUUACUUCAGGACCUAAGGGUGUUCCAUAGGGUGGAGGCUCUAUCAGCAUGGGUCCCUGAGUACCUGUGUGGAGCAGAGUCACCUCCUCAAACAUACAACAUAAGCAAGAAGUUGAUAUUUUUCUUUUACGUGGAGAUUGGUUCAUUUGUGGGCCGUGUGGUCUCUGUUGCAAAUACUCAAUUCUGCUGUGGUUUGUUGGUUACCCUAGCAUAAUGGCCCAUCUUGACCGAAACAACCCAUGCUGGUCUAACUGUGGAGCUCCCGAUCUUCUUUUAGCCACCAAGCUAUGCCAUCUCUGCCGAGUGGCAGGGCUGGGAAUGAAGACCCGAGUGCAAAAUAAUGUACGCGAUUGCCCUUCAGAAGUAAGGAAGCAAAGACGGACAUAAGAUAUCUAGGUAUCGUGGUGAAUCCCAUCUGCCCGCAAGCAUUGGACUUACCAAAGUCAGUCAUGGCAAUCGAUGAUAAUUCCCCUUGGCAGGAUUUUAAGGGAUCUUUGUAAUACUUCACCAAAGAAGCAGGGCUAUCUUCUCUAAGAGGAGGGGAAAGAGGAAGGGAGAGCAAAUUAAAAUAUAGCAGGUGACUGGAACACAGACACACUCUCAGUCACUCAUUUGCUCAUCCAACUGCGUUUUGUUAAUGGCUGCUCUGGCCCUACAACAGCUGAGCUGAGGAUUUGCAACGGAGACCACAUGGCCCACAGUGCCUAAAAUAUUUGCUCACUGGCCCUUUUACAGACAAAGUUUGCCAAUCCCUGACCUAAAAGAAUGACCAGGAGGUCAUUAAAGAAUGACCAGGAGGUAAGGGGCUUUCCCUUAUGGACACCAAAGGGCCUUUCUCAUUUUUCCAAGGGUCCCGAUUUUACAAGAGUUCUCCCUUCUCCUUGGUUUUAUUUUCCCCGGUUUCAGCUCCCCAGGGUAAGCCGAGGUCUCAAAGCACGUGACCCUCCUUCUGCAUGUGGUCAGGAGGUCAGCGGUAGCCUUAAUGCUAUGUCGCAAUGCCUACGCCAUUCACCUCAUUUCGUCUCCUCACACUGGCAUUUUAUCAUCUCGCAUCACCGCAAGAAGGGGUUUGGGGGAUGAAGGGCAACGGCAUCGCUCUGAUUCAGGGAAAUGCAAAGGCACGGCCCUCAUGAACAAUUUAACAUCAGCUCUUAGGGAGCAAGCGAGCAGAGAGAGGGGCAAAGGAAGGAGAGAGACAAUCCCAAGCAGGCACUAUGCUCAGCACAGAGCCCGAUGCAGGGCUUGAUCCCAUGAACCUGGGAUCAUGACCUGAGCCCAAAUUAAGAGUCGGACCCUCAACCAACUGCGUCACCCAGGCACUUUGAGGGUUCUCUUUCUUGGUGGUCCCCCAAAUGGAUUUUCAAGACAGCUCCAGUUUCACAGAGGAAAACCAGAGACUCAGUGGCCCCCUUUGGAUCAUGAAGUGCUUUGGGAUAGAAGCCAAGUUCUAGGGUAGUGAAGGAGAAAGGCAAGAGCCUGGUCCCCGAUGCCUGUGAAGCCACCAUAACAGUCCAGAUUGCCUGCCUCCAGAUUUCUCUUGCUUGAGAAAAAAGA